CCUACGGGAGGCAGCAGUGAGGAAUAUUGGUCAAUGGACGAGAGUCUGAACCAGCCAAGCAGCGUGAAGGAUGACUGCCCUAUGGGUUGUAAACUUCUUUUAUAUGGGAAUAAACUGUUCCACGUGUGGGAUUUUGUAUGUACCAUACGAAUAAGGAUCGGCUAACUCCGUGCCAGCAGCGGCGGUAAUACGGAGGAUUCGAGCGUUAUCCGGAUUUAUUGGGUUUAAAGGGUGCGUAGGUGGAUUGUUAAGUUAGUUGUGAAAUUUUGCGGCUCAACCGUAAAAUUGCAGUUGAGACUGGCAGUCUUGAGUACAGUAGAGGUAGGCGGAAUGCGUGGUGUAGCGGUGAAAUGCUUAGAGAUCACGAAGAACUCCGAUUGCGAAGGCAGCUCACUGGACUGCAACUGACGCUGAGGCACGAAAGUGUGGGUAUCAAACAGGAUUAGAUACCCGAGUAGUC
rnacentral:rRNA from 1 species